UCGAAUGGGGCAAGCGUUUGUUCGGAAUCACUGGGCUUAAAGCGUGCGUAGGCGGCUAUGAAAGUCAGGAGUGAAAAUCCCAGGGCUUAACCCUGGAAUUGCUUUUGAAACUCCAUAGCUAGAAUCCGGGAGAGGUUAGCAGAAUUCCGAGUGUAGAGGUGAAAUUCGCAGAUAUUCGGAGGAAUACCAGUGGCGUAGGCGGCUAACUGGACCGGCAUUGACGCUGAGGUACGAAAGCGUGGGUAGCAAACAGGAUUAGAUACCCUGGUAGUCCACGCCAUAAACGAUGUGUGCUAGUUGUCGGAUCCGACAGGUUCCGGCGACGCAGAGAAAUCAUUAAGCACACCGCCUGGGGAGUACGGCCGCAAGGUUA
rnacentral:rRNA from 1 species